UCUCCGUAGGUGAACCUGCGGAGGUAUUAUUACUGAGUGAGGGCUCACGCCCGACCUCCAACCCUUUGUGAACACAUCUUGUUGCUUCGGGGGCGACCCUGCCUUUCGGGCAGUGCGCCCCCGGAGGAUAUCAAAACGCUGCAUCUUUGCGUCGGAGUUUAAGUAAAUUAAACAAAACUUUCAACAACGGAGCUCUUGGUUCUGGCAUCGAUGAAGAACGCAGC
rnacentral:misc_RNA from 1 species